rnacentral:lncRNA from 1 species
UCUCAGUCACACACGUACCUCAAGUGAAAGCAAAGUCUGAAGAACGGUGAAUGGAUAAAUGUAUUGUACUGAAACUAUCUGAAGAUUCCCUGAUUUUGUUGCUUGUUGUUCUCAGAAAGGCUUCUGAGAAGCUUUGAUACAAGGCAAAGAAAAGGACAAAGGUAUCUGUAAAAAAUCAAUUUCAGAAAAUGGGUUUGGAGAAGAGUCUGCACUCAGAGAACUCUCAGAUCAAAAGUAAAGAACUAGUAAAGUAUACAAGGGUAGCAGUUCAACUAACAAUCACACAACAAUGGAAGACAGCACAGGAUUUAUGGCUGGUGAGCUGGUACAACAAACUCUGGGAUAUAGCUGCAAAUGAGGUUUUAAAAGGCANACUGAACAAAAUGAAAGGUACUGGAAGAAAAGAGACUUUUAAAUUUGANAUGGAGCCCACUUAGAGAAGAAAUUGGGGAUCUUAAAAGCUUUGCUCUUCCAUCUAAGAAUAUCACAGAUCUAUGGAGAUAAAACUUCUUUAUACUACAUAGCAUGGCACUGCAAAACUUGAUUAUGUAAACAACAGAUCUGGAGUAAUAUUACCACUUAUAACUGUAUCUCAUUAAAUGCUAAUGAUAUGAAAAAAGUUGAAGCAACAGGAUGGAGUUAAGUUAGAUAGGAAUGAUUCUAUUUUACUCUUCUUAUGUUUUUCUCCUU